CCCUGGUUAGCUCAGUUGGUAGAGCGCUCCACUUGUAAUGGAGAGGUCCCGG
rnacentral:tRNA from 1 species